ACCCGCACAAGCGGUGGAUCAUGUUGUUUAAUUCGAAGCAACGCGAAGAACCUUACCAGGUCUUGACAUCCCGAUGCUAUUUCUAGAGAUAGAAAGUUACUUCGGUACAUCGGUGACAGGUGGUGCAUGGUUGUCGUCAGCUCGUGUCGUGAGAUGUUGGGUUAAGUCCCGCAACGAACGCAACCCCUAUUGUUAGUUGCCAUCAUUCAGUUGGGCACUCUAGCGAGACUGCCGGUAAUAAACCGGAGGAAGGUGGGGAUGACGUCAAAUCAUCAUGCCCCUUAUGACCUGGGCUACACACGUGCUACAAUGGUUGGUACAACGAGUUGCGAGUCGGUGACGGCGAGCUAAUCUCUUAAAGCCAAUCUCAGUUCGGAUUGUAGGCUGCAACUCGCCUACAUGAAGUCGGAAUCGCUAGUAAUCGCGGAUCAGCACGCCGCGGUGAAUACGUUCCCGGGCCUU
rnacentral:rRNA from 1 species